UCAGGAUGAACGCUAGCGGCAGGCCUAACACAUGCAAGUCAGGGGCAGCACAAGGAGCAAUCUGAGGUGGCGACCGGCGCACGGGUGAGUAACACGUAUGCAACCUGCCUGUAAGCGGGGAAUAACCCGUUGAAAGACGGACUAAUACCGCAUAAUACUAAAUUACUGCAUGGUAAUUUAUUUAAACAUUUAUGGCUUACAGAUGGGCAUGCGCAUGAUUAGCUAGUUGGAGAGGUAACGGCUCCCCAAGGCAACGAUCAUUAGGGGUUCUGAGAGGAAGGUCCCCCCACACUGGUACUGAGACACGGACCAGACUCCUACGGGAGGCAGCAGUGAGGAAUAUUGGUCAAUGGACGAGAGUCUGAACCAGCCAAGUCGCGUGCAGGAAGAAUUGUCCUAUGGAUUGUAAACUGCUUUUGCAGGGGAAUAAAGUGCAUCACGUGUGAUGUUUUGUAUGUACUCUGCGAAUAAGGAUCGGCUAACUCCGUGCCAGCCGCCGC
rnacentral:rRNA from 1 species